rnacentral:rRNA from 1 species
CCUACGGGUGGCUGCAGUGGGGAAUAUUGGACAAUGGGGGGAACCCUGAUCCAGCCAUGCCGCGUGUGUGAAGAUGGCCCUCGGGUUGUAAAGCACUUUCAGUGAGGAAGAACGCCUGGUGGUUAAUACCCAUCAGGAAAGACAUCACUCACAGAAGAAGCACCGGCUAACUCCGUGCCAGCAGCCGCGGUAAUACGGAGGGUGCGAGCGUUAAUCGGAAUUACUGGGCGUAAGCGCGCGUAGGUGGCUUGAUAAGCCGGUUGUGAAAGCCCCGGGCUCAACCUGGGAACGGCAUCCGGAACUGUCAAGCUAGAGUGCAGGAGAGGAAGGUAGAAUUCCCGGUGUAGCGGUGAAAUGCGUAGAGAUCGGGAGGAAUACCAGUGGCGAAGGCGGCCUUCUGGACUGACACUGACACUGAGGUGCGAAAGCGUGGGUAGCAAACAGGAUUAGAUACCCUAGUAGUC